AAAUAGUUGAGAGAGAACAUAGAAGAAGUUAUUAGUGACGCAGAGGAAGGAAAACCCACCAUAAGGCUGAAAGAACCAGAAGUGGAUAUCUAUCUCAGCGAGGGAGAUGUCAAGGAGCUGAAGACUUUUAUGUCUGGGGUGGAGCAGAGCUAUCAAGGCAGUAAACAGGAAUAUUUACCCGGUCCCCAUCUCAGUCCCAGAAAAAGGCUCAAAGGAUGGAAAACCAAAGGAGAGCAUCUCCGAGCUUCUCACUCUUGCAAGUUAGCCACACUGAUAUGCUCUAGUGGCUGAAAAACAUCGAGGAGCUGGAGUCCUAGUUCUACCAAGAUGCUGCUAAACCCGAUCAGGGAUUAUGCGUGCCUUUCCAUGCCAAAUGUCAGCACCAGGCCAGAAGCAAUAAAGGCACAAAGCCCUGGA